GGUUAAGCGACUAAGCGUACACGGUGGAUGCCCUGGCAGUCAGAGGCGAUGAAGGACGUGCUAAUCUGCGAAAAGCGUCGGUAAGGUGAUAUGAACCGUUACAGCCGGCGAUGUCCGAAUGGGGAAACCCAGUGCAAUUCGUUGCACUAUCGUUAACUGAAUACAUAGGUUAACGAGGCGAACCGGGGGAACUGAAACAUCUAAGUACCCCGAGGAAAAAAAAUCAACCGAGAUUCCCCCAGUAGCGGCGAGCGAACGGGGAGCAGCCCAGAGUCUGAAUCAGCUUGUGUGUUAGUGGAACGGUCUGGAAAGUCCGACGGUACAGGGUGAUAGUCCCGUACACCAAAAUGCACAGGCUGUGAACUCGAAGAGUAGGGCGGGACACGUGGUAUCCUGUCUGAAUAUGGGGGGACCAUCCUCCAAGGCUAAAUACUCCUGACUGACCGAUAGUGAACCAGUACCGUGAGGGAAAGGCGAAAAGAACCCCGGCGAGGGGAGUGAAAAAGAACCUGAAACCGUGUACGUACAAGCAGUGGGAGCACCUUCGGGUGUGACUGCGUACCUUUUGUAUAAUGGGUCAGCGACUUAUAUUCUGUAGCAAGGUUAACCGUAUAGGGGAGCCGCAGGGAAACCGAGUCUUAACUGGGCGUUAAGUUGCAGGGUAUAGACCCGAAACCCGGUGAUCUAGCCAUGGGCAGGUUGAAGGUUGGGUAACACUAACUGGAGGACCGAACCGACUAAUGUUGAAAAAUUAGCGGAUGACUUGUGGCUGGGGGUGAAAGGCCAAUCAAACCGGGAGAUAGCUGGUUCUCCCCGAAAGCUAUUUAGGUAGCGCCUCGUGAAUUCAUCUUCGGGGGUAGAGCACUGUUUCGGCUAGGGGGUCAUCCCGACUUACCAACCCGAUGCAAACUACGAAUACCGAAGAAUGUUAUCACGGGAGACACACGGCGGGUGCUAACGUCCGUCGUGAAGAGGGAAACAACCCAGACCGCCAGCUAAGGUCCCAAAGUCAUGGUUAAGUGGGAAACGAUGUGGGAAGGCACAGACAGCCAGGAUGUUGGCUUAGAAGCAGCCAUCAUUUAAAGAAAGCGUAAUAGCUCACUGGUCGAGUCGGCCUGCGCGGAAGAUGUAACGGGGCUAAACCAUGCACCGAAGCUGCGGCAGCGACACUAUGUGUUGUUGGGUAGGGGAGCGUUCUGUAAGCCUGCGAAGGUGACCUGUGAGGGUUGCUGGAGGUAUCAGAAGUGCGAAUGCUGACAUAAGUAACGAUAAAGCGGGUGAAAAGCCCGCUCGCCGGAAGACCAAGGGUUCCUGUCCAACGUUAAUCGGGGCAGGGUGAGUCGACCCCUAAGGCGAGGCCGAAAGGCGUAGUCGAUGGGAAACAGGUUAAUAUUCCUGUACUUGGUGUUACUGCGAAGGGGGGACGGAGAAGGCUAUGUUAGCCGGGCGACGGUUGUCCCGGUUUAAGCAUGUAGGCUGGUUAUCCAGGCAAAUCCGGAUAAUCAAGGCUGAGGUGUGAUGACGAGGCACUACGGUGCUGAAGUAACAAAUGCCCUGCUUCCAGGAAAAGCCUCUAAGCAUCAGGUAACAUCAAAUCGUACCCCAAACCGACACAGGUGGUCAGGUAGAGAAUACCAAGGCGCUUGAGAGAACUCGGGUGAAGGAACUAGGCAAAAUGGUGCCGUAACUUCGGGAGAAGGCACGCUGGUGUGUAGGUGAAGUCCCUGCGGAUGGAGCUGAGACCAGUCGAAGAUACCAGCUGGCUGCAACUGUUUAUUAAAAACACAGCACUGUGCAAACACGAAAGUGGACGUAUACGGUGUGACGCCUGCCCGGUGCCGGAAGGUUAAUUGAUGGGGUUAUCCGUAAGGAGAAGCUCUUGAUCGAAGCCCCGGUAAACGGCGGCCGUAACUAUAACGGUCCUAAGGUAGCGAAAUUCCUUGUCGGGUAAGUUCCGACCUGCACGAAUGGCGUAAUGAUGGCCAGGCUGUCUCCACCCGAGACUCAGUGAAAUUGAACUCGCUGUGAAGAUGCAGUGUACCCGCGGCAAGACGGAAAGACCCCGUGAACCUUUACUAUAGCUUGACACUGAACAUUGAGCCUUGAUGUGUAGGAUAGGUGGGAGGCUUUGAAGCGUGGACGCCAGUCUGCGUGGAGCCAACCUUGAAAUACCACCCUUUAAUGUUUGAUGUUCUAACGUUGGCCCCUUACCGGGGUUGCGGACAGUGUCUGGUGGGUAGUUUGACUGGGGCGGUCUCCUCCCAAAGCGUAACGGAGGAGCACGAAGGUUAGCUAAUCCUGGUCGGACAUCAGGAGGUUAGUGCAAUGGCAUAAGCUAGCUUGACUGCGAGCGUGACGGCGCGAGCAGGUGCGAAAGCAGGUCAUAGUGAUCCGGUGGUUCUGAAUGGAAGGGCCAUCGCUCAACGGAUAAAAGGUACUCCGGGGAUAACAGGCUGAUACCGCCCAAGAGUUCAUAUCGACGGCGGUGUUUGGCACCUCGAUGUCGGCUCAUCACAUCCUGGGGCUGAAGUAGGUCCCAAGGGUAUGGCUGUUCGCCAUUUAAAGUGGUACGCGAGCUGGGUUUAGAACGUCGUGAGACAGUUCGGUCCCUAUCUGCCGUGGGCGCUGGAGAAUUGAGGGGGGCUGCUCCUAGUACGAGAGGACCGGAGUGGACGCAUCACUGGUGUUCGGGUUGUCAUGCCAAUGGCACUGCCCGGUAGCUAAAUGCGGAAGAGAUAAGUGCUGAAAGCAUCUAAGCACGAAACUUGCCCCGAGAUGAGUUCUCCCUGAGACUUUAAGUCUCCUGAAGGAACGUUAAAGACGAUGACGUUGAUAGGCCGGGUGUGUAAGCGCAGCGAUGCGUUGAGCUAACCGGUACUAAUGAACCGUGAGGCUUAACCUU
rnacentral:rRNA from 1 species